UACGAAGGUGGCAAGCGUUGUUCGGAUUUUACUGGGCGUACAGGGAGCGUAGGCGGUUUGGAUAAGCCCUCCGUGAAAUCUCCAGGCUUAACCUGGAAAGUGCAGAAGGGACUGUUUCAGCUAGAGGAUGGGAGAGGAGCGCGGAAUUCCCGGUGUAGCGGUGAAAUGCGUAGAGAUCGGGAGGAAGGCCGGUGGCGAAGGCGGCGCUCUGGACUGCAACUGACACUGAUGAACGAAAGCCAGGGGAGCAAACGGG
rnacentral:rRNA from 1 species